AUCAAUAAGUUGUAUUUUUAAGAUAAAAUUCUCAAAAAUUCUAUUUUAGGAAAGUUUUAUUUUUAUUGAGAAAUAUUGUAGAUUUGGGGUUCUGAUUUAGAAAUUAGAACAACGAGAAUUUUUGUUGAUAAAUGAGCAUUCUUUUAAAAGUUUUGAUCAAUAGGUUGUAUGUUUUAGAUAAAAUUCUCAAAAAUUCUAUUUUUAGAAAGUUUUCAUUUUUAUAGAGAAAUAUUGUAGAUUUGGGGUUGUGAUUUAGAAUUUUGGAUAACAAGAAUUUUUGUUGAUAGAUGAGUAUUCUUUGAGGAUUUUUGAUCAAUAAGUUGUAUUUUUAAGAUAAAAUUCUCAAAAAUUCUAUUUUAGGAAAGUUUUUAUUUUUAUUGAGAAAUAUUGUAGAUUUGGGGUUCUGAUUUAGAAAUUAGGAUAACAUGAAUUUUUGUUGAUAGAUGAGUAUUCUUUUAGAUUUUUUGAUCAAUGAAUUUUUGUUGAUAGAUGAGUAGGAAAGUUUUAUUUUUAUUGAGAAAUAUUGUAGAUUUGGGGUUCUGAUUUAGAAAUUAGGACAACAAGAAUUUUUGUUGAUAGAUGAGUAUUCUUUUAAAAGUUUUGAUCAAUAGGUUGUAUAUUUUAGAUAAAAUUCUCAAAAAUUCUAUUUUUGGAAAGUAUUCAUUUUUGUGAAUAAUAGUGUGGAUUUGGGGUUUUGAUUUAGAAAUUAGGAUAACAAGAAUUGUUUGUUGAUAGAUGAGUAUUCAUUUAGAUUUUUUUGAUCAAUAGUUGUAUUUUUUAAAUAUAAUUCUCAAAAGUUCUAUUUUAUGAAAGUUUUCAUUUUCUAUAGAAAUAUUGUAGAUUUAGGGUUCUGAUUUAGAAAUGAGGAUAACAAUAUUUUUUGUUGAUACAUCAGUAUUUUUUAGAUUUUUUUUAUCAAUAGGUUGUAUAUUUUAGAAACAAUUUCAAAAAUUCUAUUUUUAGAAAGUUUUCAUUUUUAUAGAAAAAUAUUGUUGAUUUGGGGUUGUGAUUUAGAAUUUUGGAUAACAAGAAUUUUUUUUGAUUGAUGAGUAUUCUAUAAGGAUUUUUGAUCAAUAGGUUGUAUUUUUUAGAUAAAAUUCUCAAAAAUUCUAUUUUAAGAAAGUUUUUAUUUUUAUUUAGAAAUAUUGUAGAUUUGGGGUUCUGAUUUAUAAAUUAAGAUAACAAGAAUUUUUGUUGAUAGAUAAGUAUUCUUUUAGGAUUUUUGAUCAAUAAGUUGUAUUUUUUAGAUAAAAUUCUCAAAAAUUCUAUUUUAGGAAAGUUUUUUUAUUUUUAUUGAGAAAUAUUGUAGAUUUGGGGUUCUGGUUUAGAAAUUAGUACAACAAGAAUUUUUGUUGAUAGAUGAUCAUUCUUUUAAAAGUUUUGAUCAAUAGGUUGAAUAUUUUAGAUAAAAUUCUCAAAAAUUCUAUUUUUGGAAAGUUUUCAUUUUUAUAGCGAAAUAUUGUAGAUUUGGGGUUGUGAUUUAGAAUUUUGGAUAACAAAAUUUUUUGUUGAUAGAUGAGUAUUCUUUGAGGAUUUUUGAUCAAUAAGUUGUAUUUUUAAGGUAAAAUUCUCAAAAAUUCUAUUUUAGGAAAGUUUUUAUUUUUAUUGAGAAAUAUUGUAGAUUUGGGGCUCUGAUUUAGAAAUUAGGACAACAAGAAUUUUUGUUGAUAAAUGAGCAUUCUUUUAAAAGUUUUGAUCAAUAGGUUGUAUAUUUUAGAUAAAAUUCUCAAAAAUUCUAUUUUUGGAAAGUUUUCAUUUUUGUGAAUAAUAGUGUGGAUUUGAG
rnacentral:lncRNA from 1 species